AGUGAACGCUGGCGGCAGGCUUAACACAUGCAAGUCGAGCGGAGCGAGGGUGCUUGCACCUUAGCUUAGCGGCGGACGGGUGAGUAAUGCUUAGGAAUCUGCCUAUUAGUGGGGGACAACAUUCCGAAAGGAAUGCUAAUACCGCAUACGCCCUACGAGGGAAAGCAGGGGAUCUUCGGACCUUGCGCUAAUAGAUGAGCCUAAGUCGGAUCAGCUAGUUGGUGGGGUAAAGGCCUACCAAGGCGACGAUCUGUAGCGGGUCUGAGAGGAUGAUCCGCCACACUGGGACUGAGACACGGCCCAGACUCCUACGGGAGGCAGCAGUGGGGAAUAUUGGACAAUGGGCGGAAGCCUGAUCCAGCCAUGCCGCGUGUGUGAAGAAGGCCUUUUGGUUGUAAAGCACUUUAAGCGAGGAGGAGGCUACUUAGAUUAAUACUCUGGGAUAGUGGACGUUACUCGCAGAAUAAGCACCGGCUAACUCUGUGCCAGCAGCCGCAGUAA
rnacentral:rRNA from 1 species